rnacentral:lncRNA from 1 species
AUUUUUUUUAAUAAUUUCUUAAAAUUAAAUAUCAUUAAAACUUAAAAUUCAACAUUAAAUAAAAAUAAAACUAAAAACUUAAAACAUUACAUUAUAUAUCAUUAAAACUUAAUACAUAAAACAGUACAUAACUUAAAACCUAAAAGCUUAAACGUUGAUUCAAAUAACGUGUUACGCGUAGUCAUGUUUGUAGUCUAUAAGUGCCAAAGCCAUGUCUUUUUCUUCGGUCCAUGGGAGUGACAUAUUUAAGAUUGUGUUUUGUGAACGACAAAGAUAGAAAAGAUUUGUGUAAAAAUUGAAAAAGUUUUGUGAUUGGACUAGAUGGUAUAGGUUGGUUAAAUUGAUAAACAGAAUAAAAUAUUUGAAUUUGAUUUUUUUAAUAGUAAAUGAUCAAGAUGGUUUUGACUCCGUGAAUUUUUUGAUCGUUUUAUUAAAAAAAUAAAAUUCAAAUAUUUGAUUCUUUUCUGUUUAACCAAUCCAUACUAUUUACCAAAACCACCAAACUCUCUCUAUAUCUACCCAAACUUUUUUAUUCUUCUAUGCAUAAAACUCUCAUCUUUAAAUACGUCUAUCUCGUGGAUCGAAGAGGAAAACAUCGCGUUGACGCUUAUCAACUACAAAAAAAAAGUAUGACGGCGUGGUUUUUUUUAUUUAAUUAAUCUCACAUAUAUGAAAUUAAUCCAUUAAAUUAUCAAGAUUUAAGAAGAUUAUUAAAUUAUAAAGAUUUAAAAAGAUUUUAAACUCCAUCUGACAUUGUUUUUUCUCAAAUCCUUUCGUGUAAUAAUCAUUCAUUAAACGAACGCCUCUAAAGAGUAGCCGUAUGAAGGCUUUAUAGCACGUAUCAUAUCCGCUUAGUUAGGAGGCUGAAACCAAACCUGUUUUUUUAACAAUUAGAAAGCGGGCGGAUCUGCAUCGGUCUGUGUUCUAAUCUGGAUUAAAACUACCGAUGCAUUUUGAGGAGAUCAACUGUUGUUCUAUCAGUUUUUCUCUCAAGCAGUAUCGGACAUGUUUUUUUUAAUU